GAGCCGGGGAUGGUUUCCCACUGGUUUCCAAAAGGAGAACUUCUCUGUGCUCUGCUGACUGCUGGAGCUCGCAGGCAGUGAUGCUGCAGCAUAUGUGGGAUGGCUGAGCUGAAUUGGCUACCUAUAAACACACCCCAGAUGUUAGCAGGGAAAAGGAAACUGGAAUACAUCAGGAAGCCUUUGGAGUAAAUCCCUCCCAUGGAGCCCCCUCCUCGAGCUGCUAAUGGCUGCGCUUCUCCAGGAGCCAUCAGGGAGGUGGGCGUGCUCUGGGCUGUGUGAUGCGUGUCAAGCACAGCUCUGAAGCCUUCUGGUCAGUGGGAGAUCCCCCAUGAGCUGAGAUGCAGUGGGCUGUAAAGCUGUGUGGUUGUUCUGGAGGCAAACCCUGUGGAGCUGUGCUGACUGAUGGUGUCUGGAUAAAGAGCUUAUGCCAUCUACAGAGGAAAACUUACUUUGUCCAAACCAAGUGCUCAAGUGACAACGAAGUCAAGUGCUUGCAAGCUGGCUCUCCUACCCUUCAGUAUGGCUGCUACCUAUAUAUUGUGGAACGAAUGGAGCUGAGGUCAUGGCCCCUGUAGCUGCUCCACGAAAUAUGUCCACUGGGAACUUCACGGAUUGGCCCCCUGCCCCUCCACUGAUUAGCCCACGAAUACGUACAGAAAAUUCUGGAAGCUCUGUUGAACUGUGGUCACAGGAGGAAUUCUGAGCGCAGAGAUGAGAAUUGAGAAUUGCUGCAAGCUUUCUGGCUGUAAAAAAAAAAAAAAAAAAAAAAAAAAGUAUGGAAAAGUCCCCAUGAUUUUCUGGCUGGAGCAUCUAGAAAGAAACGGAUAUGGUCCCCAGCAGAAGUGUGAGCUGAGGUUACCCUGACAUGGUAUUGACUUGACAGCUCCUUCAGGCUCAGCUGUCUUCUGGGCUUCUUUCAGUUGCAAAACGUGCUGAGCCAGAAGUAGGAAAAUAGAAAAUGAUGACUUUAAACUUCACCACACCUAAAAUCACAGUAAGUAUUUAUACUUCAAAUGCUUUUUUUAAUACCUCCAUCUGUGUUUUACUUGGUUCACAUGUUCAGAUUAUUCUCUAAGUUUGUGACAAAACUUUUAUUAUGUAUGUAUGUACAUUAAUGAAAGCUCAGUUUGUUAACUAAUCUCCAGCUAUUGGGAACCAGGUCCUUCCAGAAAAACGUAAAUGUGCAGCAAAGCAAUGAAACAAGCCACAGUCAGUAAGUAAACUGGGCAUCCUGCUUUUAGAGUUAUUAGUGUCAGCAUUUUGUUGCGUUGUUUUAGAGGUGUUGAGGAACUAUUUCCCCAAGUGAUGUUGGGAUCCUCAGUGGGGGCUCCACAUCUCCGUACUUCAGGCAUCUCAAUCGAAGCAGCCAAAAACUGGGUCAAGGCAACGCUCCAAAAUUUUAGUGGUGAGCCUCCAAAAUUCAAGACACUCGGGGAAUGUGUGUUGGGAAUAAUAUGAGAGCGCUGGGGGAAAAAAAACGAUGGAGAAGGAGUACUUAAUUUGUACCAAAUAUUGAUAUUUCAAAAUUUGGUACUGUCAGUUUGGAACAAAGCACACUGUCUGUUUUUAAACCCCUGUGAAAGUCGAGCCAGUUGCCUUUGAGCUUCAGACGCUGUCUGAACCCAUAGGUUCCUAACUUGCCACAAGGCAAUCCAUAUAGCUGGCUGCUUUGAAUCUGCAGGCACGGGGAAUUUUGGAUGCCGGCUUUCAAGGAGUCUCCCCACUGGGUUGCACUGGAACCUGGAAUUGGAGAACGUGGGUUGGCAAGAGCUGAGGUGUCUGGGAGCUGCCGAGCAGCCCCGGAGGCUUCCCAAAUUCCGCUCCCCACCAUCCCGUCUGGGAGGACAGAGGAAGCUGGGCAGCAUUUCUCAGCUCAAAACCUCAGAAUUUGGGAUCCGGGCCCCUGAAACUUUCACCCCCUGUUCCUGGACGGCUGUGGCACGCAGCUGGAGUGCAGAAAGGCGAACUGGCCUCAGCGGAGGCACCUGGUGGCUCUGCAGGUGGCCCCAGGCUGCCGUGUGCUGCUCAGCACCAUUUUGGGGCAAUUUAUCGCAGGAUCAGAGCACUGAGGAGCUACUGUUUGUAUUCGGAUGGGCUCCCUUUCAGCAUGAGGGGGCAAUGCCGGAGGCUGGGCAGCGAGACAGCCCUGUCUGCCCAGCAGUGGAACGGAGGAGCUGGCUAUUCACCUGGAUGCCGUCCUGAGUUAGUCAAAACCAGAGCCUCUCUGCAAAGCACCUAGACCUGAACACACAGUGGUUCUCUGACAAAAAUGUUCCGUCGGAGAACUUCUGACCAGGUCUGGUGGUAAACAGGCUCAAACGACACUCUGGAGAUGAUACAGGGCAAAAAUUAUUCGGGUCCCUGGUCUGCAGAGUGGGAGGAUGAGGGAAGAGAACAGUAAAUUGAAGAGGUUGAAACUGCUGAUUGUCCGAGCCUGACUGAGUGGUGCUCAGCUGUGUGGAAAGAUGUGUGGCAGUUGUUUGCGUUAUUUUUCUUUUUUUUUUCCACAGAAAACAGCCGCCACGAGAGCCGCAUCCCCAUUGCCACGGCUGAGGGUCCCCGCGCUGAGGGGGCCCUGAGGGGCGCUCCCCGCCCCGCGCUCUGAGGGGCUGUGAGGCGGGAAGGCCGCGCGGCCCCGCGCUGCUCAGGGCUCGCCUUUCCGCGGCGCCGUAGCGGGGCUGAGAGAGGAGAGCCGAGGGGCCCCUGCCCCGAGCGGGGAGGGGGGGAGCGGAGUUCCCGGCGGGCCGGCCGCCUCCCCGCCCUCCCCCGGCGGCGUGAGUGAGCGUGUUUGGGAGGGAAGGAGGGGGUGGAAGCCGGGCCGGGGCGGCCAGCAGGCAAUUUGCAUGAGAGACAGACUGGGAAUGAGCUGGAGUGGGCGCCUCUCCGCGCACACAGAGCGGGGCAGGAGGGGGAGGAGGAGGGAGCUGCCGCCGCCGCCGCCGCCGGGGAGAGGCGGCGAACUCCGGGCAAAGUUUGGUGCCGCGGGCCCGAGGCGCUGAGGCGGCGGAGAG
ensembl:lncRNA